rnacentral:rRNA from 1 species
CGGACGGGUGAGUAAUGUCUGGGAAACUGCCCGAUGGAGGGGGAUAACUACUGGAAGCGGUAGCUAAUACCGCAUAACGUCGCAAGACCAAAGAGGGGGACCUUCGGGCCUCUUGCCAUCGGAUGUGCCCAGAUGGGAUUAGCUAGUAGGUGGGGUAAAGGCUCACCUAGGCGACGAUCCCUAGCUGGUCUGAGAGGAUGACCAGCCACACUGGAACUGAGACACGGUCCAG